rnacentral:rRNA from 1 species
AGAGUUUGAUUCUGGCUCAGGAUGAACGCUGGCGGCGUGCUUAACACAUGCAAGUCGAACGAAGCCAAAAGGAAGCUUGCUUCUUGAAGCUUAGUGGCGGACGGGUGAGUAACGCGUGAGGAACCUGCCCUUCAGUGGGGAAUAACAGCCGGAAACGACUGCUAAUACCGCAUAACGUCGGAGUGCCGCAUGACACAUCGACCAAAGGAUUUAUUCGCUGAAGGAUGGCCUCGCGUCCGAUUAGGCAGUUGGUGAGGUAACGGCCCACCAAACCUACGAUCGGUAGCCGAACUGAGAGGUUGAUCGGCCACAUUGGGACUGAGACACGGCCCAGACUCCUACGGGAGGCAGCAGUGGGGAAUAUUGGGCAAUGGGCGAAAGCCCUGACCCAGCAACGCCGCGUGAAGGAAGACGGUCUUCGGAUUGUAAACUUCUUUGAUUGGGGAAGAACACAAUGACCUACCCAAAGAACAAGUCACGGCUAACUACGUGCCAGCCGCAGC